UGGGGCCGCUGCCUCGGGGGCCGGCGGGGGCGGCCGCGGGGAGCCCCACCACCAGCACCACGGAGGAGGAGGCGGCCGGCGAGGACGCGGGCGACGCGGGCGGGGGGGAGCGGCCUGCGCGGCCCGACGAGGCCCCGGGCUCUCCUGCUCCCUCCGCCGCCGAGGCUCGGGGCUUCUUCCGCGGGGGCGGGGAGGCUCCGCCGGCGUCCGAGUCGGAGGAGGAAGCGGAGGCCAGAGUUUCCUCGCCGAGAGAGGCCGUGGUGGGGGCCGGGGGAGCGGGGGUCGCGGGGUCGGCCGGGCGGGCGCGGAGGAGGGGGAAGGAGGACGGCCUUCCCCCCCCUCCGGGGCGCGCGCGGCGCCCGGGGCGCGCGGGGGGCGACGGGGCGCGGGCCCCGCGGCUGAGCCCCGGCGGCGGCGCGGGCAGCAGCCGCCUCUGAGCUCGGUGCGCGCCGCUCCGCUCCCUGGUGUGUUGAUUCUUCCCCCAGCUGCUGCCUAAUGGAGUCCGGGCUUCGCGUCACAGGAAAUGCCUAUACUGCCCUCCGCGCUCACUUCCGGCAGCAGGACCGCUGAGGAAUGCUUCCUCGGGCACAGCUAUUUGUCACUGCCUUAGAAGCUGCUUGGCUGCAGAAGGGACACAGCCUCUGGUCCUGGUGAGAAGCUUUUGGAGAUUUUGAAGCAGGCCUUUUCCCUGGCUGAAGGCAGCACUUGAAAGUGGAGUCUCUUAUGGAAGGAUUAGUAGAGGGAGGAGUCAGCCAUUAGGACACCAUGCACAUAGCAAUCCUCACCAUGACCACCAACCUCCCUGCUGACUCAUCUGCCCAUAGCGUGAUUAACCUGGAGGGGGACAAGCAGUUCUGUGCCCUCUCAAGGAUGAGGUUUUCUCACUCUGCAGCUCCCUCCACCCCCCAAUUUGUAACUCUGUACCGUCCCUCUUUCUACUGGGACAGAUGUCAUGAUCCAAGAAGAUACAGGAUGAGGCUUGCCCCAGGAGUUUCUGGCAUCCUCACCAGUGAGCGACUCCACAAGAACUGGGUGUGGCCCCAGCAAGUGGGCACAGCAAGGGAGGAAAAUAUCCGGGGAGAAAGUGUCUCCCCUGAACACCAGCCUGAGAAUUGUGGAGGGGUGCCUCCCAGUCUGCAUUCUGCAUGGAAAUCUAAUGUUCAUCACAGCUGGAGACAAUAGCCCCAUCUUUGGGCAUAGUCAAAGAAGUAUGUAAGGAGUCCACAGGAAGUUGGUAAGAGACAAUGGUGCUUCAGGUGAAACAGAAAGAGAGUCACACAGAAUGGAUUUGUCUCCUAAAGCACGGAUGGCCAUAAUUGAAUCCUCUCUUGUGCGUGUUCCCCUCUUCUAGUCUUUCAGGUUUGAGGAGAAGAGAUGGCUCUGGCUUCCAAAAGUAGCCUUGUGGCUGCAGGAGAACUGACUCUGCCUAACCAUUUUUAUGUUUCCCAUGUAAAAUUUAACAGCGUCUUAAACAGAGCUUCUCUAAAGAUCAAAGGUGCCCAGCUGAAUGGGAAUCUGUUUUGCAAAUUUAAUACUUUUUCCUUCAGCUCCCCCUCCCCACCAGUGGGCGAAAUAUUGUGCCACAGGGCCAAAGAAUCCAGUUUAGGGAGGAACCUCCUUCACAUUCCCAGCCAGACACUUUUUUCCUUCUUGUAACUUUCCAGUAGUCAUUUAGGGAAUAGGAUUGGUAACUCUGACGCCUGGUGGUCAAUUGAAAAAAUGCACCCUGGAGGAAUUGAAUGUCCACUUUUAUCAUUUAAAAUUUUAAUUUUCUGCUUCCAAUUGUAAUGUAUACAUGACACAUUUUAUUAUUAGUGAUUAUAUUAUUACUAGCUGAAUUAUUUAUAAAUAAAAUUCUUGCAAAUACAUCUAACA
ensembl:lncRNA